AUUGAACGCUGGCGGCAGGCCUAACACAUGCAAGUCGAACGAGCGGCGGACGGGUGAGUAAUGUCUGGGAAACUGCCCGAUAGAGGGGGAUAACUACUGGAAACGGUAGCUAAUACCGCAUACCAUCAGAUGUGCCCAUAUGGGAUUAGCUAGUAGGUGGGGUAAAGGCUCACCAAGGCGACGAUCUCUAUCUGGUCUGAGAGGAUGACCAGCCACACUGGAACUGAGACACGGUCCAGACUCCGACGGGAGGCAGCAGUGGGGAAUAUUGCACAAUGGGCGCAAGCCUGAUGCAGCCAUGCCGCGUGUAUGAAGAAGGCCUUCGGGUUGUAAAGUACUUUCAGCGGGGAGGCGUUACCCGCAGAAGAAGCACCGGCUAACUCCGUGCCAGCAGCCGCGGUAAUAC
rnacentral:rRNA from 1 species